CUUCAUUUGCCCAUCGCCACCAACUCCAAAUGACACAACACCUGUUUAUACGACAACAGCACCCACAACUGCUGUGACCAACACAACACCUGUAAAUGCGACAACAGCACCUAUAACUGCUUUGAC